AAGAGAAGAAAAAGAAAAGAAAAGGAAAAGAAAAAGAAAAGAAAGAAAAAGAAAAAAAGAAAAAAAUAAUUUGAGAAAGGGUUCAAGAAACCUGAAAGCAUAUUGUCUCUAAGUUUCAAGGAACAUUAUUUCCAACAAAGAUGAAUAUUCCAUCAGUAUGCCAUAACCUGCACCAGAAGAACCAAAUUUAAGAAUUUCCAGCUAUAAUUUUCAAAUAUCGAUAGUAUUUGAACAUACAAAAAAUAACUGCAAUUUUCAACACCAUGCAAAUGAAAUUACACUCCAAAUGACUUUGCCUUUUAUGUUAUAUUAUAAAAAAUUAAUUAACGCUAAUAAUUAUAAUAUUUUAUACAUUUAUUAUUGUAUUAUACUAUAUAUAUAAUAUUAUAUUACAUUAUAUCAUAAUACAUUAAUAUAUUAUGUUAAAUAAUUUAAUAUUACGUUAUAUUAUGAAAAAUUAAUUUAUAUUAAUAAUUAUAAUAUUUUAUAUCUUUAUUAUUGUAUUAUACUAUAAAUAUAAUAUUAUAUUACAUUAUAUUAUAAUACAUUGAUAUGUUAAGUUAAACAAUUUAAUAUUAUAUUUGUUGUGGUUCAAAUUUGGCCCGAGGGUGACCACGCCAGUGGAGUCGAGGGAGCUGCCAUUGGUUAAAAGGAGAGGACGCGAGCCACCUCCUGCACGACGGUCGUAGAUCUGCAUAAAGCCUCAUCGGGGUUUCUGGUGGGGGCCCUCCGACGAUCAAGUAAGAGUGGGAUCAAUUUGGUCCGGCCAAAGAGAGAAGUCCCUUAGAAGUUACCUGACCGAGCUAUUUAUAGUCUCGGUGGAGUAACCCAGGUAGCAGAGGCACUGUCAGCCCUCAUUAUGAGAGGGUGUGGCUCUGAGUCGGAUGACGCACAGCUUAGACCAGCUGGUGGCGUAUAGUGCGACCCGUUCUUGAGAACGGUAGGGUAUUGACAAUCACAGCAGGGCAUGGCCGGAGUAGUCAAGGUGUCGUCUGACUGUUGAAGGCCGACUAUGGAGACGUGGCAUUAUAGUGUUGUAAUGUACGGCCACGUAGGUGGGUGUAGGCCCGCACAUGGGUGCGGUCGUUGGCUAGGCCUAACUCGUUGAGAGGUCGCAUCAUGCAUUUGGCGAGGUCGAGUGUUGAAAGUAGCUCGGCUUUUCAGGUUCAGAAGUGUGCUCGGUGGAGCACCCCGAGCUAGAAGGUCGGGGCGUACUGCUGAGGUAGACGCCCCGAGCUUGGUUGAGAGAGUCGGUGAAUAUCUAAAAGAUACCCCGAGCUUGGUCGGAGGAGUCGGCGAAUAUCUGAAGUUAGUGGAGCUUUUGACGGAGUUCCGAAAUCGAGCUGACUCUGGACCGAAGUGAAGAUUCAGCCAAUUGGCGUUGAUGUUUACUGAGCCGCAACUGGACGGUUUUUUAGUUAUGGGCUGGACGAUCCAUUUUUCCCCCUAUCAAUAUUAAAUUGUUAUCCUAUAGUGUACAAUGUUAUAGUACUAUAUUAUAAUAAUAUUAUAUUACAUUACAAUAAUAUUAUACUAUAUUAUAUAUUUAUGUAUUAAUAUAUAUUAUAUUUUAUUAUGUUCUGUUGUAUAAUACUAUGUAAUGUCCUUUAUGGCCAUUUUGUAUGCAAAAGUAUUUUCUCAGUUUAUUUACCGCACAUGUUAAAGUGCCACAACUAGAGGUGGCAAACUAUGACCCGACCCGCCAACCCGAUCCGUGUUCAACCCACCAUAAAUAGGUUUGGGUUUGGCCUAAACAGGUUCGGGUCGUAAACUGGUUGACCUGUUUAACCUGUUUAUUAAUUGGGUUGGAUACGGAUUUUAGACAUCUGACCCAUUUAAUCUGUUUAACUCAUUUAACUCUUGGGCUGAUAGAAGAUAAAGGCCACAACCCACAAGCCCAGAGUCGGCCCAACUCCCCUCGGCCCGAUUUGGUUUUCUUUUUCAAUUGCUCAGCUGCUCACCACGAUUUGGCCAUUUGGGGGUCUUAGGGACUAGGGUUUGUAACACACACCGCCCAAGUUCUCUACUCUCUCAUCUCCCCUCCCCUCUCCUCUGCCUCCGCCCUCUCCUCCCUAGCUCCCCCUUGUCGACUACUUCUACCUCCCCGUCGACGGUGAGUCGGCAACCGCAGCUACAUCAUGCCCCCCGAUCGGCCGAUCCCACUCUCACCUGAGAUGAGAUUAUCACAGCUACAUCACUCCGUCGACGCCCCUCGCAGCUACAUCGACGCCCCCCUCCUUCCUCCUCGGCUAGGGUUUUCAGAACCCACAACUGGUGCCACCGGAGAGAGUAACUGCAGCUUCUUCUCGGAGCGAGGUAAACCAUAAACCCUAACCCCUGUUUCCUUUUACCCCAUGAUAACAAAAUAAAAGAAAAGAAGAAGAGGAAGAGGAAGGGGAAAGAACCUACCUUGGGUCUCCGGCUGUGGAUCCAACGCCGCGCUUGAUCACCGCCGUGGCCGCAGUUGUCGAUGGCCGCGCUAGGAUUCUUCCUUCCUCCUCUAAGGGAUUCUUUUCCUUCCCCUGCUGCGGGUAGGCAAGGCAGAGAGGGCUCUUCCUCCCCCCUCUGCUGAGGCCGUGAGUCAAAAAAUAUUGGCCCGUGACUUGGUCGCAGGUGGAGCCGCCGCGAUGAGAUCCGGUAGAGGAGCCGUCAGCCCCUCCAAACCUCAUCAGAUCUUCGGACACCAAUUUCUGAACAUCAGAGAGACUUCUCUCUCUCUCUCCAUUGAACCC
rnacentral:lncRNA from 1 species